rnacentral:rRNA from 1 species
AUGUUGUUGGAUUGGGCAACACGAUUUAAUAUCAUUAAAGGGGUCGCUAGGGGACUUCUCUACCUCCACUAGGAUUCAAGACUAACUAUAAUUCACCGAGAUCUCAAAGCUGGAAAUGUUUUGCUAGAUGUGGAUAUGAAACCUAAAGUAGCAGAUUUUGGUAUGGCGGGGAUCUUUGGUGAUAAUCAACAAAAUGCAAAUACUCAACGCGUUGUCGGAACAUAG